rnacentral:lncRNA from 10 species
GACACUAAGGGAUGCUGUGAAUUCCAUGCUCCAAGGUUUAAGCUGAGGGCAGUGGGGAGGAAGGGCGGAGAGGUACCUGUAUCCACCUGGCCUGUUCACUACUUAAUUUUCUUUUGCACCACGCACCAGAGGAUCAUCUCUAAAGGCAAACAGGCUCUCUAGUAAGGUCAGUAGCUUGGGAUGGGAGUCCGAGGCAGCCCAGCCUUUGGGGAGGGACCUCUGGCCUGAUUGUUCUUAUCUUGCUUUGGCAGUCCCAACUUUUAGCUGAUGAGAGAGGCAUAGAAGGACAGGAAUCAGGCUGGGUGCAGUGGCUCACACCUGUAAUCCUAGCACUUUGGGAGGCCGAGAGCGGAGGACUGCUUAAGCCCAGGAGUUUGAGACCAGCCUGGGAAACAAAGUGAGACCCUGUCUCUACAAAAAAAAAAUCAAAAA